CCCUUCUCAGGGUCGCACCUGGAGAGUUUCCAGGACUCUGCCGAUCUCGACUACGGGAGGGAGAGUCAAGCAGAGGCCUACCCGUUCCAUUUCUAGCUUGGGCAGUGGCUGGAGAGUGGAAGGCAAUCUGCUACAAGU